GACGGUAGGGCGCAAGCGUUGUCCGGAUUUAUUGGGCGUAAAGAGCUCGUAGGCGGCUCGUUGCGUCGGCUGUGAAAACCCGCAGCUCAACUGCGGGUCUGCAGUCGAUACGGGCAGGCUAGAGUUCGGUAGGGGAGACUGGAAUUCCUGGUGUAGCGGUGAAAUGCGCAGAUAUCAGGAGGAACACCGAUGGCGAAGGCAGGUCUCUGGGCCGAUACUGACGCUGAGGAGCGAAAGCGUGGGGAGCGAACAGG
rnacentral:rRNA from 1 species